CUUAAGCAUAUCAAUAAGCGGAGGGAAAAGAAACCAACAGGGAUUGCCCUAGUAACGGCGAGUGAAGCGGCAACAGCUCAAAUUUGAAAUCUGGCUCUUUCAGAGUCCGAGUUGUAAUUUGCAGAGGGCGCUUUGGCUUUGGCAGCGGUCCAAGUUCCUUGGAACAGGACGUCACAGAGGGUGAGAAUCCCGUACGUGGUCGCUAGCUAUUGCCGUGUAAAGCCCCUUCGACGAGUCGAGUUGUUUGGGAAUGCAGCUCUAAAUGGGAGGUAAAUUUCUUCUAAAGCUAAAUACUGGCCAGAGACCGAUAGCGCACAAGUAGAGUGAUCGAAAGAUGAAAAGCACUUUGGAAAGAGAGUCAAACAGCACGUGAAAUUGUUGAAAGGGAAGCGCUUGCAGCCAGACUUGCUUGCAGUUGCUCAUCCGGGCUUUUGCCCGGUGCACUCUUCUGCAGGCAGGCCAGCAUCAGUUUGGGCGGUGGGAUAAAGGUCUCUGUCACGUACCUCUCUUCGGGGAGGCCUUAUAGGGGAGGCGACAUACCACCAGCCUGGACUGAGGUCCGCGCAUCUGCUAGGAUGCUGGCGUAAUGGCUGUAAGCGGCCCGUCUUGAAACACGGACCAAGGAGUCUAACAUCUAUGCGAGUGUUUGGGUGUCAAGCCCGAACGCGUAAUGAAAGUGAACGGAGGUGGGAACCCGCAAGGGUGCACCAUCGACCGAUCCUGAUGUCUUCGGAAGGAUUUGAGUAAGAGCAUGGCUGUUGGGACCCGAAAGAUGGUGAACUAUGCUUGAAUAGGGUGAAGCCAGAGGAAACUCUGGUGGAGGCUCGCAGCGGUUCUGACGGAAAUCCCUCGU
rnacentral:rRNA from 1 species